UUGCUCACCUGUCAGGGGAGAUCGCCUGACCAGGAAGAUGGCUUUCGCAGGCCUGCCUUCCCCACUGCACCCAGAUGGCCGGAUGUGCUGACCUCAGGAGUUCCCCCAAAUUGGGGAAACUGCUUAAUUUGUGGUAGUGGGAGGGGACUGCCUUUGCAAAUU
ensembl:snRNA U1 U1 spliceosomal RNA